GAUGAACGCUGGCGGCGUGCCUAAUACAUGCAAGUCGAGCGAACAGAUGAGGAGCUUGCUCCUCUGACGUUAGCGGCGGACGGGUGAGUAACACGUGGAUAACCUACCUAUAAGACUGGGAUAACUUCGGGAAACCGGAGCUAAUACCGGAUAAUAUAUUGAACCGCAUGGUUCAAUAGUGAAAGACGGUUUAGCUGUCACUUAUAGAUAGAUCCGCGCCGCAUUAGCUAGUUGGUAAGGUAACGGCUUACCAAGGCAACGAUGCGUAGCCGACCUGAGAGGGUGAUCGGCCACACUGGAACUGAGACACGGUCCAGACUCCUACGGGAGGCAGCAGUAGGGAAUCUUCCGCAAUGGGCGAAAGCCUGACGGAGCAACGCCGCGUGAGUGAUGAAGGUCUUCGGAUCGUAAAACUCUGUUAUUAGGGAAGAACAAAUGUGUAAGUAACUAUGCACGUCUUGACGGUACCUAAUCAGAAAGCCACGGCUAACUACGUG
rnacentral:rRNA from 1 species